rnacentral:rRNA from 1 species
AACGAACGCUGGCGGCAGGCCUAACACAUGCAAGUCGAGCGAGGACUUCGGUCCUAGCGGCGGACGGGUGAGUAACGCGUGGGAACGUGCCCUUUGCUUCGGAAUAGCCCUGGGAAACUGGGAGUAAUACCGGAUGAGCCCUUUGGGGGAAAGAUUUAUCGGCGAGGGAUCGGCCCGCGUUGGAUUAGGUAGUUGGUGGGGUAAUGGCCUACCAAGCCGACGAUCCAUAGCUGGUUUGAGAGGAUGAUCAGCCACACUGGGACUGAGACACGGCCCAGACUCCUACGGGAGGCAGCAGUGGGGAAUCUUAGACAAUGGGGGAAACCCUGAUCUAGCCAUGCCGCGUGAGCGAUGAAGGCCUUAGGGUUGUAAAGCUCUUUCAGCUGGGAAGAUAAUGACGGUACCAGCAGAAGAAGCCCCGGCUAACUCCGUG